rnacentral:rRNA from 1 species
CCUACGGGAGGCAGCAGUGAGGAAUAUUGGUCAAUGGGCGCGAGCCUGAACCAGCCAAGUAGCGUGAAGGAUGACUGCCCUAUGGGUUGUACACUUCUUUUAUAAAGGAAUAAAGUGAGGCACGUGUGCCUUUUUGUAUGUACUUUAUGAAUAAGAAUCGGCUAACUCCGUGCCAGCAGCCGCGGUAAUACGGAGGAUCCGAGCGUUAUCCGGAUUUAUUGGGUUUAAAGGGAGCGUAGGUGGGUUGUUAAGUCAGGGGUGAAAGUUUGCGGCUCAACCGUAACAUUGCCGUUGAUACUGGCAGUCUUGAGGAGACUUGAGGUAGGCGGAAUUCGUGGUGUAGCGGUGAAAUGCUUAGAUAUCACGAAGAACUCCGAUUGCGAAGGCAGCAUACUAAGCUGCCACUGACACUGAGGCACGAAAGUGUGGGUAUCGAACAGGAUUAGAUACCCCUGUAGUC